AUCCAUCCUCAGUGUACCAUGGUCCACACAAAAAUGGAUGGUGGCCAUCCAAGGGUGGUAGUUAUAGCCAGGGAGAGGUCACUCAAGAAUUA